UACAGAGGGGGCAAGCGUUGUUCGGAAUUACUGGGCGUAAAGGGUGCGUAGGUGGCGCUGUAAGUCGGGUGUGAAAUCCUGAGGCUUAACCUCGGAACUGCAUUCGAUACUGCGGCGCUUGAGGACUGGAGAGGAGACUGGAAUUCAUGGUGUAGCAGUGAAAUGCGUAGAGAUCAUGAGGAAGACCAGUGGCGAAGGCGGGUCUCUGGACAGUUCCUGACACUGAGGCACGAAGGCCAGGGGAGCAAACGGG
rnacentral:rRNA from 1 species